rnacentral:rRNA from 1 species
AACGAACGCUGGCGGCAGGCUUAACACAUGCAAGUCGAGCGCCCCGCAAGGGGAGCGGUAUACGGGUGAGUAACGCGUGGGAAUCUACCCAUCUCUACGGAAUAACGCAUGGAAACGUGUGCUAAUACCGUAUACGUCCUUCGGGAGAAAGAUUUAUCGGAGAUGGAUGAGCCCGCGUUGGAUUAGCUAGUUGGUGGGGUAAAGGCCUACCAAGGCGACGAUCCAUAGCUGGUCUGAGAGGAUGAUCAGCCACACUGGGACUGAGCCACGGCACAGACUCCUACGGGAGGCAGCAGUGGGGAAUAUUGGACAAUGGGCGCAAGCCUGAUCCAGCCAUGCCGCGUGAGUGAUGAAGGCCCUAGGGUUGUAAAGCUCUUUCACCGGUGAAGAUAAUGACGGUAACCGGAGAAGAAGCCCCGGCUAACUUCGUGCCAGCCGCCGCAGUAAUAC